rnacentral:rRNA from 1 species
UACUCGAGUGGCGAACGGGUGAGUAACACGUGGGUGAUCUGCCCUGCACUCUGGGAUAAGCCUGGGAAACUGGGUCUAAUACCGGAUAGGACCAUGCUUUAGUGUGUGGUGGAAAGUUUUUUCGGUGUAGGAUGAGCCCGCGGCCUAUCAGCUUGUUGGUGGGGUAAUGGCCUACCAAGGCGGCGACGGGUAGCCGGACUGAGAGGUUGGUCGGCCACAUUGGGACUGAGAUACGGCCCAG